GGCAAAGCUCAAUUUGAAUCUGGCGUCUUCGACGUCCGACUUGUAAUUUGAACAAGGCGACUUUGUAGCUGGUCCUUGUCUAUGUUCCUUGGAACAGGACGUCAUAGAGGGUGAGAAUCCCGUGUGGCGAGGAUCCCAGUUAUUUGUAAAGUGCUUUCGACGAGUCGAGUUGUUUGGGAAUGCAGCUCUAAGUGGGUGGUAAAUUCCAUCUAAAGCUAAAUAUUGGCGAGAGACCGAUAGCGAACAAGUACAGUGAUGGAAAGAUGAAAAGAACUUUGAAAAGAGAGUGAAAAAGUACGUGAAAUUGUUGAAAGGGAAGGGCAUUUGAUCAGACAUGGCGUUUGCUUCGGCUUUCGCUGGGCCAGCAUCAGUUUUAGCGGUUGGAUAAAUCCUCGGGAAUGUGGCUCUGCUUCGGUAGAG
rnacentral:rRNA from 1 species